UACGUAGGGUGCAAGCGUUAUCCGGAAUUAUUGGGCGUAAAGAGCUCGUAGGCGGUCUGUCGCGUCGGUCGUGAAAACUUGGGGCUUAACCCUGAGCUUGCGGUCGAUACGGGCAUGACUGGAGUUCGGUAGGGGAGACUGGAAUUCCUGGUGUAGCGGUGAAAUGCGCAGAUAUCAGGAGGAACACCGGUGGCGAAGGCGGGUCUCUGGGCCGAUACUGACGCUGAGGAGCGAAAGCGUGGGGAGCGAACAGG
rnacentral:rRNA from 1 species